GUGAUUUGCGAGAACAGUAGUUCUGAAAAAGGAAAGAGGAUUUCUUCCUCUUCUGACCGCUCGGUGAGCAGUCCGCACCCGGAGCUGCUGUCGGAGUGAGGAAUAAUAAUAGCAGCAGCUGUAGGAGUGAGGAAUAAUAAUAGCAGCAGCUGUAGCCGUAACAUUUAUUGAGAGCUUGCUGGGUUCUGGGCAUCGUUCUAAGUGGGUUUCCUAUCAAUUAGCUCAUUUAAUACUUAGCCAUAUUGUGCCGUCGAUUUUUACUUUCAUACAUGCUUUCCAUACCAGCAGCUUCACAGACAGGUGCAGUCACUUGCCCAAGGCCAACACAACUAGUACGCAGCAGAACCUGGUGCCCCACACCCUCGGGCGUCACUCAAGAGUGCGUCCUGGUGCACACAGAAGUUCGCCCUCCAGUUACCUCUCAGUGGUAGAACCAGGUCUCCUGCUCCAGGCUGGGGCUGUCACGUGGCACGGUCAUCCCCCGGUGCACCUAUGAACCUGGGGCAAGUGGAACGCCUGGGCCCAGAUCGUUUAUGGGAAGUUUGCUGUUACCCACAGAGCAGAGAGCAGGGCCCCGAGCCCCAAGAAACAGAAAACAGACGGAGAGGAGUCAGGACAGAAGUGGCUUCUGCAGGACCGUCCAGGGAGUCAGUGCCAACGACUCACCAUCCCUAGGCUGAGGCUGUGGAAUGGACUCUGGGAGCCUCAGACCCCAGCCCCUCCCGCCUUGAUCUUCCACCCUCGCAGAGGGGCCUAAGGCUUUUGAAUAGGGAGUCCUGGGGUAGGCGCCAUUACCCUCCUUUACGGGAUGAAACUGAGGUGGUGCUGGUGACUGGCAACCAGGAAUUUAACUGAAAUCAGUCAGACUCCAGGAGAUCCAACCAGUCCAUUCUGAAGGAGAUCAGCCCUGGGAUUUCUUUGGAAGGAAUGAUGCUAAAGCUGAAACUCUAGUACUUUGGCCACCUCAUGUGAAGAGUUGACUCACUGGAAAAGACUCUGAUGCUGGGAGGGAUUGGGGGCAGGAGGAGAAGGGGACGACAGAGGAUGAGAUGGCUGGAUGGCAUCACUGACUCGAUGGACAUGAGUCUCAGUGAACUCCGGGAGUUGGUGAUGGACAGGGAGGCCUGGCAUGCUGCGAUUCAUGGGGUUGCAAAGAGUCGGACACGACUGAGUGACUGAACUGAACUGAACUGAUACUCCUCAUUUACUGGGGAUAGAGUGCCCUGCCGAUUUCAGUGGAGGGCGAAAGAAGUUUGACUUAUAAGAAUACGUAUUUGGUCUUCUUCCUGCUUC
ensembl:lncRNA